AUUGAACGCUGGCGGCUGGCCUAACACAUGCAAGUCGAACGAGUGGCGGACGGGUGAGUAAUGUCUGGGAAACUGCCUGAGGGAGGGGGAUAACAACUGGAAACGGCAGCUAAUACCGCAUACCAUCAGAUGUGCCCAGUUGGGAUUAGCUUGUUGGUGGGGUAACGUCUCACCAAGGCGACGAUCCAUAGCUGGUCUGAGAGGAUGAACAGCCACACGGGACCUGAGCCACGGUCCAGACUCCUACGGGAGGCAGCAGUGGGGAAUAUUGCACAAUGGGCGCAAGCCUGAUGCAGCCAUGCCGCGUGUAUGACGAAGGCCUUCGGGUUGUAAAGUACUUUCAGCGUGGAGGCGUUACCCGCAGAAGAAGCACCGGCUAACUCCGUGCCAGCAGCCGCGGUAAUUC
rnacentral:rRNA from 1 species